rnacentral:rRNA from 1 species
AACGAACGCUGGCGGCGUGCCUAACACAUGCAAGUCGAACGAAGGCUUCGGCCUUAGUGGCGCACGGGUGCGUAACGCGUGGGGAUCUGCCCUUUGCUUCGGAAUAACAGUUAGAAAUGACUGCUAAUACCGGAUGAUGUCGUAAGACCAAAGAUUUAUCGGCAAAGGAUGAACCCGCGUAGGAUUAGCUAGUUGGUGGGGUAAAGGCCUACCAAGGCGACGAUCCUUAGCUGGUCUGAGAGGAUGAUCAGCCACACUGGGACUGAGACACGGCCCAGACUCCUACGGGAGGCAGCAGUGGGGAAUAUUGGACAAUGGGCGAAAGCCUGAUCCAGCAAUGCCGCGUGAGUGAUGAAGGCCUUAGGGUUGUAAAGCUCUUUCACCGAUGAAGAUAAUGACGGUAGUCGGAGAAGAAGCCCCGGCUAACUUCGUGCCAGCAGCCGCGGUAAUAC